rnacentral:rRNA from 1 species
GGAGUUCGAUUAAGCCAUGCGAGUCGUGAGUCUUAGGGACUCGGCAUACUGCUCAGUAACACGUGGAUAACCUGCCCUAUCGUCUGGAAUAACCUCGGGAAACUGAGAAUAAGGCCGGAUAGUUCACAAUGCCUGGAACGGUUUGUGAAUCAAGGUAGGAUGGGUCUGCGGCGUAUCAGGUUGUAGGGGGUGUAAAGGACCCCCUAGCCUUCGACGCGUACGGGUGUUGGGAGACAUAGCCCGGAGAUGGAUUCUGAGACACGAAUCCAGACCCUACGGGGUGCAGCAGGCGCGAAAACUUCACACUGCAGGAAACUGUGAUGAGGGAACUCCUAGUGCAUGCACUAUGUGUAUGUAGAUCCUACUCUUAACAAGUAGAGGGAAAGGGCUGGGAAAGACCGGUGCCAGCCGCCGCGGUAAUACCGGCAGCUCACGUGGUCGUCGCUUUUAUUGGGCCUAAAACGUCCGUAACCUGUAUGGUAAAUCUGUGGG